rnacentral:lncRNA from 10 species
GGGAAGCUGAGGCAAGAGGAUCCCUCGAGCCUAGGAGUUUGGUCCCAGUGAGCUAUGAUCGUGCCACUGCGCUCCGGCCUGGGUGACAGAGCAAGACCCUGUUUCAAAAAUCAAUACAUAAAUACUUUCUAAGACAUAUCCUUCAAUUUCAUAGAAUUUAAUUAUCUACUCCCUAAUAUUUCUCUUGGUUGCAUUACUAGCCGGCCUACCCUCCUCUCCCUUUGUGUGUAUUCUGGCUUAAUACCGACAUGCAAAGACCAGCACUUGGCCGAACUCACUCAGAGAUUCUGAGAGCCCCUAGUGAGAACCAGUCAGUUUGAUAAGCAAAGGCUUUGCUUGGUAUCCUGGCUCCCUAGAAAAAGCUAUAGUCUGGUUACCUUAGUGACAGGGUUGUACUGAAAAGAAACAGAGAACGGUCAGGCAGCUGCACAGCCAGCCUCCUGCACACAAACGUGCUUAGAACAGGAACCCUGUUGGGGAUACAGCCCUGCUCUCCUGCUCUUUCUGCCAUCACCCCAAGAACAGCAGUGGGCGGUGGUCGCUCCCCAUCACUCCACUCCUCCGUGAUCCCCGCAUCCAUGGUUGCUCUGUCUGCUUCGUGGCUUCUGCUGCCUCGUGGCUCUAGUCUCCCUGGGUGUCCUUCAGCCUCCACCCUGCUUCUGACUGCAGACUCUUGCAUCUUAUAUUCAAAUAUCCUCUGGCUGAGCAAGCCAAUCACCACACAGAAUAGAUGGCUCUUUUGAGCAGAGCUCUGAGUCGGCCACAGGCCAGCUUAGAAACUGGCUGCACUAGGGUCAGGUGCCCCUCUCUGACCCAAUCAGCUGUGGACCAGGAUCUCAGAGUCACAUUGCACAGAACAUGACAAUCUGUGCAGCAGGAAAACCCCAGAGGGACCCUUAGGGCACAAAAAGCUUUCUAAAAUUUCCCCAGAAAAAAAGCUGUAUAACUAACCAGCAAGCACGGUGCUUGAUCUCAGUUCCACUGGAAAUAAAACUAUCAAUACAGACACAGUGUGCUCAUUUAGUGGUCUAUCUGUAUCUUACAUAGCUGGCAAGUUACUAAUGAACUCCUGUAUCUCAGCAAACACUAAGAUAAAGCUACACUCCCAAAUAAGGAUUGGAUAUUUCAUUUAAGAAUGUAUUUAUUGCUGAGCUCAGUUCUCUGAGAUAAUCCAUUCUUCCACCAGGGCAUGAAGCUUAUUUUCAAAAGUGUCCUGUUUGAAUAUUUUUACUGUUUAAUAUAUGGCAUAUUGAAUGGCAAAUUUUCUUGAGCUAUAGACAGUUGGCUAAUUUUAUGCUUGCAUUAAUCUUAACAUUUGUAAUCCUCAUGGAAAUUAACAGCUAAAAUUUCUUAUACAUCAAUUAAAGAUGGCUUUUUUUCUUGUAGUUUAUCUAGGCACAUCACUUUUUCUUUUUUUUUAAAAUAUUCAACUCAUUUUGUGAGUUCCCUGUUUGACCCUGACCCUGGUCGUGCUGACAUCUGCUAACAAUAGAGACUUUAAACCAAGCCUGGCUCUGCACAGUGCACCAGGAGACUUUUGUACGAGACGCUGAAGGCAGACUGCUUUCUUCCUCCAGCCAAGAGCUGCCUCUAAUGCUUUUCAUUGGUUCCUCUCCAGCUGGCUGUUCUCUCUUCUCUUAACAACUCAAGUUCUUUUUUCUUCUGGGUUACCUCUUUAAGGUCAAGUAGUAAAGACGCUGCCCAUCUUCAGAGGUGCUGGGAUUGGAACCCUUUUAAUUCAGGGAAGCAUUUGAUAUUCCUUUCAUGUUUGUGUUGUGUUUGGUUUGCUUUAAUUUCAAAUGAUUUAUGUAGCUAAUCUUUCCUCCAUCAAAAUCAAAGGAAAGUUGGUCUUUGCUGGGAAAUAAAAACUUGAACAAAAGCCACAUUAAAGAACAAGUAACAAGAAAGGAACUACUGUUAUGAAAGAAUUCAGGGGAAGGUAAAUAUCAUAGAAUAAUUUGAAGACAAGUUGAAAGGAAACGUCAUAUUCAGUGUCAUAUCACAUACUGUAUGUCACACAGAGGACAGAAUCAAACACUAAAUCCAGUCCCAGAAGAGACGGAGACCAGGCAAGGGAGGGGGAAAGACCGCAGGCAGAACACCCCUCCCUGUGGGUGAGUGCCCUCUGUCUCCGAGUGGCCCUGAGGCAUGGCAAAGUGGAGUGUCUUGUCCAAGGCUAUGUAGAUUCUAAAUGGCAGAGCAGGAAUUCGAACUCAGGGGCUCUGUUUCUAAACUGAAGUCACUUCCUUGGUGAGAUGCCAUUUCUGGAAUAAAACUGGCAUAUCCGUCAGCUUUUCUUUUCUCCUAAUGAUUUAAGGCACAAACCUCUCUUGCUUAAAGUCUGAGAGUCUGAGCCAAUUGUAUAUCUUGUCCUUGUGGUGAAUACCAUCCCCCUCCAAAUUAGGCAAACAGCAAGAUUGGCAAUUAGUCAUCAAAUGUGCAAAAACCUUUUAUAAAAAGAUAGGGUUCUGGCUGGGUGCGGUGGCUCACGCCUUGGCCAACACUUUGGGAGGCCAAGCUGGGCGGAUGGCUUGAGCCCAGGAGUUCAAGACCAGUCUGGGCAACACAGCGAAACCACGUUUCUACAAAAUAUUUUAAAAUUAGCAGGGCAUGAUGGUGUGUGCCUGUAGUCUCAGCUGAUGGGGGGCAGGUGCUGAGGCAGGAGGAUUGCUUGAGUCUGGGAGGUCGAGGCUGCAGUGAGCCAUGAUUACACCACUGCACUCCAGCCUGGGUGACAGGGCAAGACCCUGCCUUAGAAUAAAAAAAAGAUAGGGUUCUGAAGAGAUGUUGUUCCUCUUCUGAAAUGUUUUAUACGUUCAGACACGUUUACCCCACCUUGCCAUUUUUCCAGGGACAGUUACCUACUUAUCAAUCCAGAGAGUAUCAGGAUCAGAUGGACCAGUACAAGCGUCACAACAUCAUUAAAGAACAAGUUCUGGAGGCUAGAAGUCCAGGGUGCCAGCAUGGUCGGUUCUGAUGAGGGCCCUCUCCUGGGUUGCAGAUGGCUGAUUUCUCCUUGUAUCCUCACAUCGUGGAAAGCAGGUGAGUUAGCUCUCAGGCCUCUUUUAAGGGCACUAAUCCCAUUCAUGAGGCCCCCACCCUCAUGACCUAAUCACCUCCCAAAGGGCCCACUUUCAAAUACCAUCACACUGA